rnacentral:rRNA from 1 species
GACGACGACGUUGAUAGGUCGGGUGUGUAAGUGCAGCGAUGCAUUGAGCUAACCGAUACUAAUGAACCGUGAGGCUUAACCUU